GAUGAACGCUGGCGGCGUGCCUAAUACAUGCAAGUCGAGCGAACAGACGAGGAUCUUUCUCCUCUGACGUUAGCGGCGGACGGGUGAGUAACACGUGGAUAACCUACCUAUAAGACUGGGAUAACUUCGGGAAACCGGAGCUAAUACCGGAUAAUAUAUUGAACCGCAUGGUUCAAUAGUGAAAGACGGUUUUGCUGUCACUUAUAGAUGGAUCCGCGCCGCAUUAGCUAGUUGGUAAGGUAACGGCUUACCAAGGCAACGAUGCGUAGCCGACCUGAGAGGGUGAUCAGCCACACUGGAACUGAGACACGGUCCAGACUCCUACGGGAGGCAGCAGUAGGGAAUCUUGCGCAAUGGGCGAAAGCCUGACGGAGCAACGCCGCGUGAGUGAUGAAGGUCUUCGGAUCGUAAAACUCUGUUAUUAGGGAAGAACAAAUGUGUAAGUAAAUAUGCACGUCUUGACGGUACCUAAUCAGAAAGCCACGGCUAACUACGUG
rnacentral:rRNA from 1 species